CUUAUGUCCAACUCUGCUGACGUGGCACCACGCCACGUCAGCCAUCAUUUAAAAAAAAAAAAAAAAAAAAAAUUUCAAAAUCAGCGUGAAAACGAUUUCAGUAUACCUAUACCCAUUUCACCAUUUUCCCCCAAACCCAUUUUCCCCCCAAAUCUCUUCCUCCCUCAACCCCAUCUACCGCCACCCACGACCACCACCACCGUCGAACACCCACGAGCCCUCCAUCAGUACGAACGUACAGCAGCACGUCGGCUCCAUCUCCAUCUCCGUCUCCAUCUCCGGAUCCAGCUCCAUCUCCAUCUCCGGAUCUCCGUGAAGCUCCACCGUUUGUUCUCCAUCUCCAGAUGAAGCUGCUAGAGCUUUGCACCAUGCUACAACAGUCUCAGUAAUAAGGUGUACCCCAGAUUCCUUCGAGGAUGCAUAGGCUGAGAAAUACAUGUCAAGCGUACCGAAGAGAUUCCAAGAUCUGAGAUAUGAUGUUUCAUCUUGAGAUGUAAUUAGGGUACUAGCCUUUAACUGAAGGGUUCAAACACAAUUGUUAAGUCAACAAAGGACAUCUGUAUGUGCAUGGAUCUCUAUUUUGCGAGGAUAGGUAGAAUGUGUCCUUUAUCUUUUUGUGCAAUGUGAUAAGAAGAGUUAAAAAAAAAUCAUGCUUUUCAAAAUUGGCUUUA